rnacentral:rRNA from 1 species
GAUGAACGCUGGCGGCGUGCCUAAUACAUGCAAGUCGAGCGAACGGACGAGAAGCUUGCUUCUCUGAUGUUAGCGGCGGACGGGUGAGUAACACGUGGAUAACCUACCUAUAAGACUGGGAUAACUUCGGGAAACCGUAGCUAAUACCGGAUAAUAUUUUGAACCGCACGGUUCAAAAGUGAAAGACGGUCUUGCUGUCACUUAUAGAUGGAUCCGCGCUGCAUUAGCUAGUUGGUAAGGUAACGGCCUACCAAGGCAACGAUGCAUAGCCGACCUGAGAGGGUGAUCGGCCACACUGGAACUGAGACACGGUCCAGACUCCUACGGGAGGCAGCAGUAGGGAAUCUUCCGCAAUGGGCGAAAGCCUGACGGAGCAACGCCGCGUGAGUGAUGAAGGUCUUCGGAUCGUAAAACUCUGUUAUUAGGGAAGAACAUAUGUGUAAGUAACUGUGCACAUCUUGACGGUACCUAAUCAGAAAGCCACGGCUAACUACGUG